AGUCAGGGGUGCUGUGAAAGGCUGAGACGGCAAAGACGCCGAACCCUUUAACCUGAUACGGAUAAUGCCGGCGUAGGAAGACGACAGA
rnacentral:ncRNA from 1 species